GAUGAACGCUGGCGGCGUGCCUAAUACAUGAAGUCGAGCGAAUGGAUUAAGAGCUUGCUCUUAUGAAGUUAGCGGCGGACGGGUGAGUAACACGUGGGUAACCUGUCCAUAAGACUGGGAUAACUCCGGGAAACCGGGGCUAAUACCGGAUAACAUUUUGAACCGCAUGGUUCGAAAUUGAAAGGCGGCUUCGGCUGUCACUUAUGGAUGGACCCGCGUCGCAUUAGCUAGUUGGUGAGGUAACGGCUCACCAAGGCAACGAUGCGUAGCCGACCUGAGAGGGUGAUCGGCCACACUGGGACUGAGACACGGCCCAGACUCCUACGGGAGGCAGCAGUAGGGAAUCUUCCGCAAUGGACGAAAGUCUGACGGAGCAACGCCGCGUGAGUGAUGAAGGCUUUCGGGUCGUAAAACUCUGUUGUUAGGGAAGAACAAGUGCUAGUUGAAUAAGCUGGCACCUUGACGGUACCUAACCAGAAAGCCACGGCUAACUACGUGCCAGCAGCCGCAGUAA
rnacentral:rRNA from 1 species